GACGAACGCGGCGGCGUGCCUAAUACAUGCAAGUCGAGCGAAGUUUUUCUGGUGCUUGCACUAGAAAAACUUAGCGGCGAACGGGUGAGUAACACGUAAAGAACCUGCCUCAUAGACUGGGACAACUAUUGGAAACGAUAGCUAAUACCGGAUAACAGUAUUUCUCGCAUGAGAGAUAUUUAAAAGUUGGUUAUGCUAACACUAUGAGAUGGCUUUGCGGUGCAUUAGCUAGUUGGUGGGGUAAAGGCCCACCAAGGCGACGAUGCAUAGCCGACCUGAGAGGGUGAUCGGCCACACUGGGACUGAGACACGGCCCAGACUCCUACGGGAGGCAGCAGUAGGGAAUCUUCCGCAAUGGGCGAAAGCCUGACGGAGCAACGCCGCGUGAGUGAAGAAGGAUUUCGGUUCGUAAAGCUCUGUUGUUAGGGAAGAAUGGAUAUGUAGUAACUAUACAUGUAAGAGACG
rnacentral:rRNA from 1 species